rnacentral:pre_miRNA from 1 species
UUCAAGUAAUCCAGGAUAGGCUGUUUUCUCUUCAGCCUGUUCUCCAUUACUUGGUUC